GGGGAGCAAGAUGGAGUCACAGAUCCAGGUCCUCAUGUUCCUGCUCCUCUGGGUGUCUGGUGCCUGUGCAGAUAUAGUGAUGACCCAGUCUCCAUCCCUCCUGGCUGUGUCAGCCGGAGAGAAGGUCACCAUCAGCUGCAAGUCCAGUCAGAGUCUUUUAUACAAUAAAGACCAGAAGAACUACUUGAACUGGUACCAGCAGAAACCAGGGCAAUCUCCUAAACUGAUGAUCUACUAUGCAUCCACUCGGUACACUGGGGUCCCUGAUCGCUUCACAGGCAGUGGAUCUGGAACAGAUUUCACUCUCACCAUCAGCAGUGUCCAGGCUGAAGAUCUGGCAGAUUACUACUGUCAGCAGAGUUAUAGUACUCCUCCCACAGUGUUUCAGCCUCCAACAAAAACCUCCUCUGAGAGUCUCACCAGCUGCCUGCCCCACACACAGCCCUGGACCUGCACACUUCCCCCUUCUGUCUGA